rnacentral:rRNA from 1 species
CCCCUAGUGGGAGUGACGGGCGAUUUGUGCAUGCAGAAUAAAAUUUAAAUUUUGGAUAUUUUCUCAAAAUUUACUCACAAGUUCAUUAUUUCUUAGAUUUUUUUAGUUAAUAAUUUUUUUCAGUGAAGCCCACCUCUACUUUAUUGUCUCCCGAAUCUUGAUUUGUUUUAUAUGCCAAAGCUGUAUAAAGAUAAAAGCCUAUUUUAAUUAAACAAUGAUAUGUGAGGUAAAAAACAAAGCAAGAUCUUAUCGUGGGUUAUCGAUUACAGGGCAGGCCUCCCUGUUCAAGCUACACCGCCAUUUCUUUCUAGGUUUCUUUAUUAUGAAUACUUUCUUGAUUUUUUUUAGAA